GUCCACGCCGUAACGAUGACUACUAGGUGUCGGGAGCAAGCUCUUCGGUGCCGCAGCAACGCAAUAAGUAGUCCACCUGGGAGUACGUUCGCAAGAAUGAACUCAAGGAAUUGACGGGACCCGCACAAGCGGUGGAGCAUGUGGUUUAAUUCGAAGCAACGCGAAGAACCUUACCUGCUCUUGACAUCUCCCUGACCGGCAAGUAAUGUUGCCUUUCCUUCGGGACAGGGAUGACAGGUGGUGCAUGGUUGUCGU
rnacentral:rRNA from 1 species